ACAACUUACCACCAACCAUCAAAACCUUUGCUGGGAAAAAGGCUGGAGCUGACUUUUUUCUGCCUUUUAUGUCCCACUUUAUCUCCAUCCAUCCGUCUUCUUCUUCUAGAUCAGGGCACUGAGUGAUUACUUUUGGACAUUGUUGCUGGUCGUCAGUACUCAUCCAUAAAAUCUUCCCAACUUCCACAGUCUUGUCCUUGAAAUAAUAAAUGGCAAAUGGCAUUGUGGUAUCUAAUGCUGAAAAUUUAAUUUUAGCUAGGAUAUGUCUUCUCCUUCUUCUCCUUUCCUUGUUGAUACUGGUUGAGACCGUUAUUUAUUUAUUUUUUUUGCAAGGGAGACCUUGAAUUGGCGCGUGAGCGCUAAUUUAAAAUUGGGAGGCUCCCAUUGGCUGCCAGGUAGGGGCGGGACCAUGGCCAGAAGUGCCGUACCAGAAAUUUCUGUGGCGAUACUACCUGGAAGAAGCUGAGCUAGCUCAUUAGAGCUAACGUGGCUAAACAGUGUGGACCUUAUCAAAGAUAUUUAGAGGAUUACACAGCAGAGAUUCCAAGGACUACCAAGUACAGAUGGAAAGUAAAAGAUAGGGCAGAACUACAGGACAACUCACGAGAUCACAUUAGUCAGCCCACUGCUUCCCAUAGAGAAGUUACAGAUGAUGUCAACAGUAGGAGCUCUUCCACACCUAGGCUUUUGGAUUCUGCCCUUCAACAGAAUAUCAGUCAUGAUGACAUCAACACAGAUGGUCACAUGACUUACACUUCGACCAGUGGAGAGGAAGAACUCAAUUCCAGCAGUGAAGAUGAAUUUGAUAGUGAGAGCUCUUCCAUGGACAGCCUGUUGGAUAUGGACAUUCAAGAGAAUGAUAAUAUAGAUAACCACACCGACACAGAAGACCACUGGAGUAACACUUCCAGCAGUGAAAAUGAAGACGAUGAACUCGACACUGAGAAACCAACCACAAGCCAGUUGGAUGUGGAUGUCUCAGAGGUGAAUGCACCAUUCUAUGGGUUAGUUUAUAUACGCUUCCUUUAAUCUUUUAAUUAAUUACUUCAAGUUAUCUUUUUCCCUUGUCAACUUGUAAAAUGAUGAAGCUCUGCCACAUUCUGAAGAGGACUUGAUUGGUGCUGCCAUUGAUGAAGCUGAAAACCAUGCUGAUGACGAAAACGUGAUGGAGGGGAGUGCAAGAGGAAAUGAACCUGAAUUUCCAGUGGGCAUUGAAGACCACGCAGAUGGUGACAAGCCCCUAUAUCCUGGUGCACCUGUUUCAAAGGGAGAAAGUUUAUUGAUGCUGAUGUCCUAUGUGCUGCAUAACAACUUAACAGGCAAAGCACUUACUCAUUUACUGAAACUGUUCAAUCUAAUGUUUCCAGGUUUGAUUCCACCCUCACAUUCAAUUCAGUCUUUUGUUGAAGAACUUUACUUUAGUAAAAGGAAAACAGAAAAUUGUGAAAUGCUAAAUGAAAAUGUCAGAGGUUUUGGUCACCCCCCGGUGCAAACAAGUAUAAAAAUGUCAUAUAGGCUUGCCAUUGUGGAAAUCUAAGCAACUGCUUUUGGUCUUAGAACCGUUUUUUGGUAAAUGGACUUGUGUAUCACAGUCAAAACUAUGACAGACUAAAGAAGAGACACAAUAGUGCUGCAUGCUUGAAAGAUGGUACAUUUUGUUUAAUUUCUGACUUGGUUAUUUUUAAACAAACAUGUUCACAUCAAAUCCCUGCUUUUUGUUCAUGUGGCAAACUAUGUUGUGUUUUAGUU